CCUACGGGUGGCAGCAGUGAGGAAUAUUGGUCAAUGGACGAGAGUCUGAACCAGCCAAGUCGCGUGAAGGAUGACUGCCCUAUGGGUUGUAAACUUCUUUUAUAUGGGAAUAAAGUGUUCCACGUGUGGGAUUUUGUAUGUACCAUAUGAAUAAGGCUCGGCUAACUCCGUGCCAGCAGCCGCGGUAAUACGGAGGAUCCGAGCGUUAUCCGGAUUUAUUGGGUUUAAAGGGAGCGUAGGUGGAUUGUUAAGUCAGUUGUGAAAGUUUGCGGCUUAACCGUAAAAUUGCAGUUGAAACUGGCAGUCUUGAGUACAGGAGAGGUGGGCGGAAUUCGUGGUGUAGCGGUGAAAUGCUUAGAUAUCACGAAGAACGCCGAUUGCGAAGGCAGUUCACUGGACUGCAACUGACACUGAGGCUCGAAAGUGUGGGUAUCAAACAGGAUUAGAUACCCGGGUAGUC
rnacentral:rRNA from 1 species